rnacentral:rRNA from 1 species
ACGGGAGGCAGCAGUGGGGAAUCUUCCGCAAUGGGCGAAAGCCUGACGGAGCAACGCCGCGUGAGUGAAGAAGGUCUUCGGAUCGUAAAGCUCUGUUGAGAGGGACGAGAGAUUACUUCAGGAAAUGGGAGUAAGAGGACGGUACCUUUCGAGGAAGCCACGCCUAACUACGUGCCAGCAGCCGCGGUAAUACGUAGGAGGCGAGCGUUGUCCGGAAUUAUUGGGCGUAAAGGGAGCGAAGGUGGGACUUUAAGUCAGUGUUAAAAGUGCGGGGAUCAACCCCGUGAUGGGAUUGAAACUGUAGUUCUUGAGUGCAGGAGAGGAAAGCGGAAUUCCUAGUGUAGCGGUGAAAUGCGUAGAUAUUAGGAGGAACAUCAGUGGCGAAGGCGGCUUUCUGGAGUGUAACUGACGCUGAGGCUCGAAAGCGUGGGGAGCGAACAGGAUUAGAUACCCUGGUA